AUUGAACGCUGGCUGCAUGCCUAACACAUGCAAGUCGAACGGUAACAGGAAGCAGCUUGCUGCUUCUCUGACGAGUGGCGGACGGGUGAUUAAUGUCUGGGAAACUGCCUGAUCGAGGGGGAUAACUACUGGAAACGGUAGCUAAUACCGCAUAACGUCGCAAGACCAAAGAUGGGGACCUUGUGGGCUCUUGCCAUCGGAUUUGCCCAGAUGGGAUUAUCUAGUAGGUGGGGUAACGGCUCACCUAGGCGACGAUCCCUAGCUGGUCUGAGAGGAUGACCAGCCACACUGGAACUGAGAAACGGUCAAGACUCCUACGGGAGGCAGCAGAGGGGAAUAUUGCACAAUGGGGGCAAGAAUGAUGCAGCAAUGCCGCGUGUAUGAAGAAGGCAUUCGGGUUGUAAAGUAAUUUCAGCGGGGAGGAAGGGAGUAAAGUUAAUAACUUUGCUCAUUGACGUUACCCGAAGAAGAAGCACCGGCUAACUCCGUG
rnacentral:rRNA from 1 species